rnacentral:tRNA from 1 species
AGGGUAAUAGUUAAAUAUAACAUUUGAAUUGCAAUCAAAAAGUAUUGUCCAACCAAUUUACCUUU